rnacentral:lncRNA from 10 species
CUCAGCCUUCUGAGGAGCUGAGAUUACAGUGUCUGUCCUGCACCCAACAAACCAUCCAACCAACCAGUCAACCAGCCAACAAACAGCCAACUAACCAAUCAUGCAUCAAUCAUGCAAUGCAACCAUCAACCAACCAUUCAGCCAACAAACCAGCCAGUCAUUCAAACUUCUAAUCAGCCACCUAUUCAGUCAACCAAUAAACCAGCCAACCUACCAAACAGCCAACCAACUAUGCAACAAACCAACCAACUGACAACAAAUAGUCAAACAAUUUAACUUCUAACCAGCCAACCUACCAAAUAGUCAACCAUCUAACAAAUCAGCCAAACAGCAAAGCAAUCAGCCAAUGGAACAGCCAGAUAACCACUCAACUAACUGUGUUCUCUAGCCAGCCAACCAUCCAAAUAACCAGCCAGCCAACCAUCCAAAUAACCAGUCAUCCAACCAUCCAAAUAACCAGCCAGCCAGUCAGUCAAAUAACCAGCCAGCCAACCAUCCAAAUAACUAGCCAGCCAGUCAGUCAAAUAACCAGCCAGCCAACCAUCCAAAUAACCAGCCAGCCACCAUCCAAAUAAUCAUCUAAGAUUCAGCCAAACAACAAACCAGGCAACCAACUAACCAACCUGCUAACCAGGCAACCAACUAACUAGCCAUCAAAACAACCUACCAACCAAAAUGCCAACCAGCCACUCAAUCAGUCAACCAAGCUAAGAACUAGCCAACCAAGCAGCCAGCCAAUUCUCCAACGAACCACCAGUUAGUCAACUAGCCAAGCAACCAACUGGCCAGUCAGCUGAACAACCAAUCAAGCAACCAACUGAUCAACCAACUAGCCAAUCACCAAACAUCCAUCCAUCCUUUCAUCUACCCACAACAAUUACCCAAAUACCUAUGGAGCAUCCACCAUGGACCCAGGCCUGUGAGGGCUACAACAAAAGUGGAGAAUCACAGCCCCUGGCUUCAAGGAGCAGAAAACUCAGCCAGUAAAGCAGGAUGAGCACAAAUAAAACAGCUGGAGAUCCCUAAAAGGCAGCAAACAGGGAAGGCUGCACCAGUUGCCAGUGCCAGAAGCAGUCUGGGGAGGGAGAGAUCAUCAUGGACAGGAGAAAUAAGGGAGGAUCCCUGGGAGAGCUGGGACUGGAGCUGCCUUCUCUUGCAGUAAGGCCAACCCUAGAAGUUACCAUUUAUUGAGAACUUACUCUAUGCCAGGCAUUCUAAGUGAUUUGCAUACAGCCAAGAAACCAACCUGCCUCACAACAAUCCUGGGACAAAGACAGUGUUAUCACCCUCAGCGUACAGAUGAGGAAACAGAGGCACAAGUGAAGGAGCUGAGGCUCAGACAGGUGAAAUGACAUAUUCAAAAC